rnacentral:rRNA from 1 species
CCUACGGGCGGCAGCAGUGGGGAAUAUUGCACAAUGGGGGAAACCCUGAUGCAGCGACGCCGCGUGAGUGAAGAAGUAUUUCGGUAUGUAAAGCUCUAUCAGCAGGGAAGAAGAAAGACGGUACCUGACUAAGAAGCCCCGGCCAACUACGUGCCAGCAGCCGCGGUAAUACGUAGGGUGCAAGCGUUCUCCGGAUUUACUGGGUGUAAAGGGAGCGUAGACGGCUGUGCAAGUCUGAAGUGAAAGCCCAGGGCUCAACCCUGAGACUGCCUUGGAAACUGUGGAGCUGGAGUGCUGGAGAGGUAAGUGGAAUUCCUAGGGUAGCGGUGAAAUGCGUAGAUAUUAGGAAGAACACCAGGGGCGAAGGCGGCGUACUGGACAGAAACUGACGUUGAGGCUCGAAAGCGUGGGGAGCAAACAGGAUUAGAUACCCGAGUAGUC